GAUGAAUUGGCAGAUUAGUGCUUUAGGUUUAGAACUUGAUAAAGUAUUUCAUAUACAUUCAUUA
rnacentral:tRNA from 1 species